CUUUACUGUAGCUUUGUAUUGGACUUUGAACAGAUCUGUGUAGGAUAGGUGGGAGGCUUUGAAGCUGGGACGCUAGUUCUAGUGGAGCCAACGUUGAAAUACCACCCUGGUGUGUUUGAGGUUCUAACCUAGGUCCAUUAUCUGGAUCGGGGACAGUGCAUGGUAGGCAGUUUGACUGGGGCGGUCUCCUCCCAAAGCGUAACGGAGGAGUUCGAAGGUACGUUAGUUACGGUCGGACAUCGUGAUGAUAGUGCGAUGGCAUAAACGUGCUUAACUGCGAGACUGACAAGUCGAGCAGAUGCGAAAGUAGGACAUAGUGAUCCGGUGGUUCUGUAUGGAAGGGCCAUCGCUCAACGGAUAAAAGGUA
rnacentral:rRNA from 1 species